rnacentral:rRNA from 1 species
AUUGAACGCUGGCGGCAUGCUUUACACAUGCAAGUCGAACGGCAGCACGGGGGCAACCCUGGUGGCGAGUGGCGAACGGGUGAGUAAUGCAUCGGAACGUGCCCUGUCGUGGGGGAUAACACAUCGAAAGAUGUGCUAAUACCGCAUACGACCUGAGGGUGAAAGCGGGGGACCGUAAGGCCUCGCGCGAUAGGAGCGGCCGAUGUCUGAUUAGCUAGUUGGUGGGGUAAAGGCCUACCAAGGCGACGAUCAGUAGCGGGUCUGAGAGGACGACCAUCCACACUGGGACUGCGACACGGCCAAGACGCCUACGGGAGGCAGCAGUGGGGAAUUUUGGACAAUGGGGGCAACCCUGAUCCAGCCAUGCCGCGUGCGGGAAGAAGGCCUUCGGGUUGUAAACCGCUUUUGGCAGGAACGAAACGGUGCGGGCGAAUACCCUGUGCUAAUGACGGUACCUGCAGAAUAAGCACCGGCUAACUACGUGCCAGCCGCCGCAGUAACAC